CGCGUAGGUGGCUUGGUCAGUCGGAUGUGAAAGCCCCGGGCUUAACCUGGGAAUUGCAUUCGAUACUGCCUGGCUAGAGUAUGAUAGAGGAAAGUGGAAUUCCCGGUGUAGCGGUGAAAUGCGUAGAUAUCGGGAGGAACAUCAGUAGCGAAGGCGACUUUCUGGAUCAAUACUGACACUGAGGUGCGAAAGCGUGGGUAGCAAACA
rnacentral:rRNA from 1 species